CGUAGGUGGCAAGCGUUGUCCGGAUUUAUUGGGUUUAAAGGAUGCGUAGGCGGCUUUGUAAGUCAGUGGUGAAAUAUGGCAGCUCAACUGUCAGGGUGCCAUUGAUACUGCGGAGCUUGAGUACAGAUGAGGUAGGCGGAAUUGACGGUGUAGCGGUGAAAUGCUUAGAUAUCGUCAAGAACAACGAUAGCGAAGGCAGCUUACUGGGCUGUAACUGACGCUGAGGCACGAAAGUGUGGGGAUCAAACAGGAUUAGAUACCCUGGUAGUCCACACUGUAAACGUUGAUGACUCGCUGUUGGCGAUACACAGCCAGCGGCAGAGAGAAAUCGUUAAGUCAUCCACCUGGGGAGUACGCCGGCAACGGUG
rnacentral:rRNA from 1 species